rnacentral:lncRNA from 1 species
GUUCACCGCAUACAAGCUUUUAUAGAAACAAACAUAGAACUAGACUGGAAUACUAUCAAUAGCACCAAGCUAUUGGUGCUAUUAGGUUUUCGGCCCUUGGAUGGAAAAAUAUACGGUUAGAAUGAUGCGAGCUCUCCAGGGUUGAGUGAGUUAUUUGUUUAAUAGUAUAAUUUAACGAAUAAAAAUAAUCAAAGAGUUAAAUCUAACGGCGAAAAAUUUGAUAGCACCGAACGCUUGGUGCUAUCGAUAGUAUUCUAGGCAGACUCACUAACAUAAUAUAUGUUACAAACAUGUAAUUA